ACGCUCGACACCUACGGGAGCAGCAGUGGGGAAUAUUGGGCAAUGGGCGCAAGCCUGACCCAGCAACGCCGCGUGAAGGAAGAAGGCUUUCGGGUUGUAAACUUCUUUUCUCAGGGACGAAGGAAGUGACGGUACCUGAGGAACAAGCCACGGCUAACUACGUGCUGCAGCCGCGGUAAUCUGAGCGGGCUGGCAAGGC
rnacentral:rRNA from 1 species